CAACAAUGCUUCUCAAAAUGAUUUUCUUCUUCCCUCUUCCGUCACAGUCCAUGAGGACUUCAUGCCACAGCAGAAAGAGAAUGAAUUUUGGACACAGAAAGACUCCUCUACCACAAACUAGUUGGGAAACCUUGGGUAUGUAACGACCUUCAGGAAAACGCCCUCUGCUGGUAUCUGUCACCAGUGACAAGAGAAAGGGAUGCUCUGUAGCCUCAAGGACCACAACACCAGAUGGUCAACAUUCCAAGACCCUCCCCCGCCCCCCCCCUUUGGGCCCAUUUACCCUAUAUAAUUGCUUCCAAAUUUUGUGGUUUUAAGAUGCUUCUUUAAAACAUUAGUCUGCCAUCUUCCCCCUUGCUGGCAAGCUGUAAUAAAAAGCCCCUUUCUCUCCU